CAUAGGUUAAUGAGGCGAACCGGGGGAACUGAAACAUCUAAGUACCCCGAGGAAAAGAAAUCAACCGAGAUUCCCCCAGUAGCGGCGAGCGAACGGGGAGGAGCCCAGAGCCUGAAUCAGUGUGUGUGUUAGUGGAAGCGUCUGGAAAGGCGCGCGAUACAGGGUGACAGCCCCGUACACAAAAAUGCACAUGCUGUGAGCUCGAUGAGUAGGGCGGGACACGUGGUAUCCUGUCUGAAUAUGGGGGGACCAUCCUCCAAGGCUAAAUACUCCUGACUGACCGAUAGUGAACCAGUACCGUGAGGGAAAGGCGAAAAGAACCCCGGCGAGGGGAGUGAAAAAGAACCUGAAACCGUGUACGUACAAGCAGUGGGAGCACAGAGCAAUCUGUGUGACUGCGUACCUUUUGUAUAAUGGGUCAGCGACUUAUAUUCUGUAGCAAGGUUAACCGAAUAGGGGAGCCGAAGGGAAACCGAGUCUUAACUGGGCGUUAAGUUGCAGGGUAUAGACCCGAAACCCGGUGAUCUAGCCAUGGGCAGGUUGAAGGUUGGGUAACACUAACUGGAGGACCGAACCGACUAAUGUUGAAAAAUUAGCGGAUGACUUGUGGCUGGGGGUGAAAGGCCAAUCAAACCGGGAGAUAGCUGGUUCUCCCCGAAAGCUAUUUAGGUAGCGCCUCGUGAAUUCAUCUCCGGGGGUAGAGCACUGUUUCGGCAAGGGGGUCAUCCCGACUUACCAACCCGAUGCAAACUGCGAAUACCGGAGAAUGUUAUCACGGGAGACACACGGCGGGUGCUAACGUCCGUCGUGAAGAGGGAAACAACCCAGACCGCCAGCUAAGGUCCCAAAGUCAUGGUUAAGUGGGAAACGAUGUGGGAAGGCCCAGACAGCCAGGAUGUUGGCUUAGAAGCAGCCAUCAUUUAAAGAAAGCGUAAUAGCUCACUGGUCGAGUCGGCCUGCGCGGAAGAUGUAACGGGGCUAAACCAUGCACCGAAGCUGCGGCAGCGACACUAUGUGUUGUUGGGUAGGGGAGCGUUCUGUAAGCCUGUGAAGGUGUGCUGUGAGGCAUGCUGGAGGUAUCAGAAGUGCGAAUGCUGACAUAAGUAACGAUAAAGCGGGUGAAAAGCCCGCUCGCCGGAAGACCAAGGGUUCCUGUCCAACGUUAAUCGGGGCAGGGUGAGUCGACCCCUAAGGCGAGGCCGAAAGGCGUAGUCGAUGGGAAACAGGUUAAUAUUCCUGUACUUGGUGUUACUGCGAAGGGGGGACGGAGAAGGCUAUGUUGGCCGGGCGACGGUUGUCCCGGUUUAAGCGUGUAGGCUGGUUUUCCAGGCAAAUCCGGAAAAUCAAGGCUGAGGCGUGAUGACGAGGCACUACGGUGCUGAAGCAACAAAUGCCCUGCUUCCAGGAAAAGCCUCUAAGCAUCAGGUAACAUCAAAUCGUACCCCAAACCGACACAGGUGGUCAGGUAGAGAAUACCAAGGCGCUUGAGAGAACUCGGGUGAAGGAACUAGGCAAAAUGGUGCCGUAACUUCGGGAGAAGGCACGCUGAUAUGUAGGUGAAGCGACUUGCUCGUGGAGCUGAAAUCAGUCGAAGAUACCAGCUGGCUGCAACUGUUUAUUAAAAACACAGCACUGUGCAAACACGAAAGUGGACGUAUACGGUGUGACGCCUGCCCGGUGC
rnacentral:rRNA from 1 species